AAUAUUGGACAAUGGGGGCAACCCUGAUUCAGCCAUGCCGCGUGUGUGAAGAAGAUCUUCGGCGUGUAAAGCACUUAAAGUGGGGAGGAAGGGCUUUAGGUUAAUACCUUGCUGUUUUGACGUUUCCGUCUGAAUAAGCUCCGGCUACCUUCUUUCCCUCAGCCGCAGUAAUAUGAAGGGUGCAACCGUUAAUCGGAAUUACUGGGCGUAAAGCGCGCGUAGGUGGUUUGUUAAGUUGGAAGUGAAAGCCCCGGGCGCAACCUGGGAACUGCUUUCAAAACUGGCAAGCUAGAGUAAGGUAGAGGGUAGUGGAAUUUCCUGUGUAGCGGUGAAAUGCGUAGAUAUAGGAAGGAACAUCAGUGGCGAAGGCGACUACCUGGACUGAUACUGACACUGAGGUGCGAAAGCGUGGGGAGCAAACAGG
rnacentral:rRNA from 1 species